rnacentral:lncRNA from 1 species
CACACUAUUACAAAUAAACUGUAGAACAAACCACACUAUUACAAUCAGGGUAAGAGAUUACGGACUAGACUGAGAAGAUUACAGACUGAAAAAUUACAAAAUUAAAACAGCACAAUUACUGUUUACAUAUGCAAUAACUGGAAAAGAGUUUCCAGUGUUGAGGGCAAUAUAAAGGAAGAGAAUUCAGAUUGCAAUCACACAUGCUGAUUAUAAAAAUAAGGAGGAGGGAUAGAACCUGGUUGGUGAAUGAGUAUGAAGCUAUGAGGUCAGGAUAGCUUUGAUAGUUGAUGAAGUAUCUCCAGGGGAGAGAGAGAAAAAAGGUAAAGCAGAGAAGAGAAGCAGGGAAGAGAAGGAGUUGUUGGUCUGAAGCUUGGAUUCCAACCUGAG